GAAUAUAAACACACAUAGCUGAGGCCGGGUGCGGUGGCUCUCGCCUGUAAUCCCAGCACUUUGGGAGGCCGACGCGGGCAGUCAGGGAUUCGAGACCAAUCUGGCCAACAUAGUGAAACCCUGUCUCUACUAAAAAUGCAAAAAUUAACGGGGCAUGGUGGCGGGCACCUGUAAUCCCAGCUACUCGGGAGGCUGAGGCAGGAGAAUCACGUGAACCCGGGACACAGAGGUUGCAGAUCACGUCAUUGCACCCUAGCCCAGGCCACAGUGCAAGACCCCGUCUCAAAAAAAAAAAAAAAAAAAAAAAAAAAAAAAAAAAAAAAAAAAAAAAAGUGUUUGUUGCAGAAACUUGGCCAAGGUCCCAAGUGGCCCCAGAUGGUUGAGUUUGGGCCAGGGUGUCGCCUGCCGAGAGCGUUGGGCAAGUGAGACAAGGAAAAGGUGGAGGGAGCGCCUCUGGGCCUGGAGCUUCAGAGCUGCAAGAUGCUGUUUCAGUCAAGCUGCAGAUGAGGCUCGUGCGGCUCGCUCCGGCUCCUGCUCGGGCUCCGGCUCCGGCUCUGCGCUGUGGGCCUUCAUCAUGCCGUCCUCUCUCAUCAUGAGUUGGAGAUACACAAAGAAUGGCAAAGAAUGGCACCGAUGAAUCACCUAGCAACAAAUCUGUCUUUUUGAUCGGGGCCUUCGCUGCACUGGCGUGGCUGAAACUGCGGUUCUCACCAACGUCCACCUUCUUCCUCCAGUUCGCCGCCCUACCCCCAGCGAGCACCGAGCCAGCCAGCCAGCCCCAGACUUGGCACUGCAGCUGCGACCACCCACCUCCCUAUGGCCCAGGCGCCGCAUGAGGCUCGGACUGGCGCACGGAGGCGCGUGGGGGUGGGGGACGCGGAAGGGAGGGGGCGCGGAACUGGAGACCCUGCAAAAAAGCUGGGCCUGGGACGCGCUGGCUCCCCGGCGAGUCCCCUUCACUGCGCAGGCGUGGGCAGCUGCAGAACCCUGUCAUUCCUACUUAGUUUGCUCAUCAUCCUUAAUAUUCUUUGCUGUGACCCAGGAUAUACCUGGAACCCAGCGACCUUGACCUGCCUUCAAAUGCAGUUACUUCAGGCCAUCUGGGCAUAUACGUGCAAGUCACAGGGGAUGCGAUGGCUUGGCUUGGGCUCAGAGGCCCGACAAUCACAAGGUCAGGAGUUCAAGACCAGCCUGGCCAAUAUGGUGAAACCCCGACUCUACUAAAAACACAAAAAUUAUCCAGGCGUGGUGGCGUGCGCCUGUAGUCCGAGCUACUCGGGAGGCUGAAGCAGAAGAAUGGCUUGAACCCAGAAGGAGGAGGUUGCAGCAGACCGAGAUCGGGCCACUGCAUUCCAGCCUGGGAAUGAGACUCCCAGGCUGGAGUCUCCUGGGAAUGAGACUCCCUGGGAGUGAGACUCCAUCUCAAAAACAACAACAACAAAACCAAAAAAUUGCUUAAUGAGCCAAGGAGAACUAUUUCGGGGCCAGGAAUACCUACCUUCUCUGAUAAGAGCACAUUCACACCCAUGUUCCAGGUACAUCUGUUCUGCAGAUCCCUGGCCCUAAAUUAAUCUCAAAUUCUCACCCUUGGUUCUUGUCCUUAGCUUUUGUGACUACACCAGUGUAUCAUUGACUGUGUUUUGUGCCAUGUAUUUAAUGGAUUUAAUAACACUUCUAGCAUCUCAAUUUGAUCGGUGAGCUUUUGUUUCUUAAUAGCUUGCUUCGUAGUGUCAUCGGAGGUAGUGCUACCAUUGCAUUGAAAUAAUUUUCCAGGUGCUUAACUUUUUAAAAUUCUCAAGGACAUUUUAUUCGAGGACCACAGAGUUUACACCAACUAUCCAGAAGCCAGGAAUACUUAAAGAGAGAUUCACUACCCCCAGCUUCUUUUCAAACAAGUUUCACUUCAACCUCACACCCAGGAAUUCCUACAUUCAAAUUCCCUACAUUUCAGUAUCCUUAGUCAAACUAACUUCUUGUGCCAGAAGUUUUUGUCUGUCCCAGUGACUUCUUUCUUUAACAAAUACCCUUCAUCUCCCCCUUGAGUCAAAGCCCAUGGGGGCCCCAGGAGGCAUGCGACAUUUACCAAGGGUCCUCCCCCAUUUUCCUGCCUCUGUCUGGCAGUUGUUUGCCUUUACUUUCAGGUUUGUAGUCACAGCCUGUUUUUUUUUCCUGUAGACACACCAGGUUUUCUGAAUGGUAGGAUUGUUUAGACUAGAAUUAACCU
ensembl:lncRNA